CAGAUGGAAGCUGAAUGUGAGAGGGAUGGUCCAGUCUUCAUCAUAUGAAACAGGGCUCGACUGUGAAAAGGUGCAAAUAUUACUGAACAAAACGAUGGUUCACUUCGGAUAAGCAUUCAAUAAGAUGAUUUGCAGAACCUGGGUAUUUGAUAUGCUGGAAAAUUGCUGUUAUUUGGCCUCAUACAAAAUGGAGUUUCCCAUGGUCCUUGCCCAGACUCAUGUUCGGUGCAGUUGCGCGUGAACUGUACCGAGGGUGUAACACCAAAACCGGGUGUUACAUGUACUGUUGUUUCUGAAAUUUACAAUAACCUAUCAGGAGGUGUGUCACUGGGAGGGGGCUUUGCCUCUGCCUGCUGCCUAUGGAUGAGGAUGUGACUCACAGCUACUACUCCAGGGUCCACCUGCUUGACACUAUGCCUGCCCGCCUGACACCAUGCUCUCCACCAUGAUGACAGAGGACUAACCCUCUGAAACUGACGAUGAGGACUCCACUUAUCAAGAUGGAAAAGAAUGGAAAAUGAAUGUGCUGGUUCAGGUGCACUGGGGAAAGGCAGGAACCUGAUUUUCUGCACAAAAGGCUUAUGAUAUCUGUAAGACAUGCGUACAAACAUGCCACAUAAACAUCUGCAACUGAGAUACAAAAACGAGAGAACAUUAAUUUGGGAGUUGCCAUAUAAACAGAUGCAAAAACAGACUAGAGAUGGAUGAAAAUAUUGAAAGACAUUUAAAAGGCCGUGUGUGCAGGAACUGCAGCAUUUACAAACCAACUGUACAAGGAAGAGUCCGCAUUUCAGAGACAAAGCAGUGGCCAUCCCAAUGGGGAGGAGAUGUGGCGAGCGUGGUGUGCGAGAGAUCAAGAAAAAGGAAUUCAAGUCACGAGUGCCAAAGAAUGUGGGAUACUGCAAAGACAGAUGGUUCUGAAUGUGCUUCUGGUUUCUGACAAUGGGGAAGUGGUGGUGGCCCUGGAAGGAGCAGUGUCUGUAAUUGGAUUAUGGUGGGCCAACCACUAACAGAGGGGCGCUCAUUUUGGGAGCUUUGUUGUGGACGGGGAUCAGAGAAACAGGGAAAGAUGCAACGACGGGAGAUUAUUUUAAACAUGAGCUCUGAGGCUACGUCUAAAGGUUGAAAGGAACAAUGUGUGCCAAAGGAGAUGCUGAAGAUUCCUGGAGAGGCGGAAUCCAGGCAGCCAACACGAAUGCUUGUUCUGUAGCAGCGUGGUACAGACACGAUGCACUUUAAUCCACUUUAAUCCUUGCACUACCACAGGGAGAUAAGUAUCACAGAUCUAACACCUUGUUACAUUUCAGAUGGCUUAGGAAGCCCAGUCAGAAUGGCCUCGGGCUCAAUGUGUCUAUUAGGGAUACUGAAAUACAAAAGCACAGGCGCAGAUGUUUCUCUACUGCACCCCUCGGCUGCCGAAUUUGUUCUUAGUGGGAAGUCAUUGAAAUCCUUUCUUGCUCUCUGUCCAUCUUGACUCCUUCCUCUCGACAGCAUUCCCCUCAGAUCUGGCUUUAGGACACAAGGGUCCCUUUGUCUUCUGUGGAAUCUCCUCUUUCUCGGGAAGCACCCCAAGGCCAGCAAGAUCAAGUAUCAUGCUUCAUAGCACAUUUUGAGCUUGUGCCCUUGUUCACUAUGAUGAUUGCGUACUGACUGCUAGAUGCUGUGCUGUGCAGUAAGGAGCAGGCACGCCAAGGUAAAUCCUGUCUCAAAUAGAAACCCGAUUGCCUGAGAGUCAUCCCAGAAGAAUGUGAUGCUUUGGGGUUUGCGAAGAGCAAGAGAUGAAUGAUUUUAAUCUCUAUUUUGAUUCAGUUUGUCUUGAUUUG